UACAGAGGUCCCAAGCGUUGUUCGGAUUCAUUGGGCGUAAAGGGUGCGUAGGCGGCGCGGUAAGUCGGGUGUGAAAUCUCGGGGCUUAACUCCGAAACUGCAUUCGAUACUGCCGUGCUUGAGGACUGGAGAGGAGACUGGAAUUUACGGUGUAGCGGUGAAAUGCGUAGAUAUCGGAAGGAAGACCAGUGGCGAAGGCGGGGCUCUGGACCGUAACUGACGCUGAGGCACGAAGGCGAGGGGAGCAAACGGG
rnacentral:rRNA from 1 species